rnacentral:rRNA from 1 species
UGCUGGAGGUAUCAGAAGUGCGAAUGCUGACAUAAGUAACGAUAAAGCGGGUGAAAAGCCCGCUCGCCGGAAGACCAAGGGUUCCUGUCCAACGUUAAUCGGGGCAGGGUGAGUCGACCCCUAAGGCGAGGCCGAAAGGCGUAGUCGAUGGGAAACGGGUUAAUAUUCCCGUACUUGGUGUUACUGCGAAGGGGGGACGGAGAAGGCUAUGUUGGCCGGGCGACGGUUGUCCCGGUUUAAGCGUGUAGGUGUGUGUUCCAGGUAAAUCCGGUUCACUUUAACACUGAGGCGUGAYGACGAGGCACUACGGUGCUGAAGCAACAAAUGCCCUGCUUCCAGGAAAAGCCUCUAAGCAUCAGGUAACAUCAAAUCGUACCCCAAACCGACACAGGUGGUCAGGUAGAGAAUACCAAGGCGCUUGAGAGAACUCGGGUGAAGGAACUAGGCAAAAUGGUGCCGUAACUUCGGGAGAAGGCACGCUGACAYGUAGGUGAAGUGAUUUACUCAUGGAGCUGAAGUCAGUCGAAGAUACCAGCUGGCUGCAACUGUUUAUUAAAAACACAGCACUGUGCAAACACGAAAGUGGACGUAUACGGUGUGACGCCUGCCCGGUGCCGGAAGGUUAAUUGAUGGGGUCAGCGCAAGCGAAGCUCCUGAUCGAAGCCCCGGUAAACGGCGGCCGUAACUAUAACGGUCCUAAGGUAGCGAAAUUCCUUGUCGGGUAAGUUCCGACCUGCACGAAUGGCGUAAUGAUGGCCAGGCUGUCUCCACCCGAGACUCAGUGAAAUUGAACUCGCUGUGAAGAUGCAGUGUACCCGCGGCAAGACGGAAAGACCCCGUGAACCUUUACUAUAGCUUGACACUGAACAUUGAGCCUUGAUGUGUAGGAUAGGUGGGAGGCUUUGAAGUGUGGACGCCAGUCUGCAUGGAGCCGACCUUGAAAUACCACCCUUUAAUGUUUGAUGUUCUAACGUGGACCCGURAUCCGGGUUGCGGACAGUGUCUGGUGGGUAGUUUGACUGGGGCGGUCUCCUCCUAAAGAGUAACGGWGGCACUGCCCGGUAGCUAAAUGCGGAAGAGAUAAGUGCUGAAAGCAUCUAAGCACGAAACUUGCCCCGAGAUGAGUUCUCCCUGAGACUUAGAGUCUCCUGAAGGAACGUUGAAGACGACGACGUUGAUAGGCCGGGUGUGUAAGCGCAGCGAUGCGUUGAGCUAACCGGUACUAAUGAACCGUGAGGCUUAACCUU